rfam:Salmo salar isolate Sally breed double haploid chromosome ssa15, whole genome shotgun sequence.
UGCAUUCACUACUGUAAGUCGCUCUGGAUAAGAGUGUCUGCUAAAUUACUCAGA